GACGAACGCUGGCGGCGUGCUUAACACAUGCAAGUCGAACGGAAAGGCCCUGCUUGUUUGGGGUGCUCGAGUGGCGAACGGGUGAGUAACACGUGAGUAACCUGCCCUCGACUUUGGGAUAACUUCAGGAAACUGGGGCUAAUACCGGAUAGGAGCUCCUGCUGCAUGGUGGGGGUUGGAAAGUUUCGGCGGUUGGGGAUGGACUCGCGGCUUAUCAGCUUGUUGGUGGGGUAGUGGCUUACCAAGGCUUUGACGGGUAGCCGGCCUGAGAGGGUGACCGGCCACAUUGGGACUGAGAUACGGCCCAGACUACUACGGGAGGCAGCAGUGGGGAAUAGUGCACAAUGGGCGGAAGCCUGAUGCAGCAACGCCGCGUGCGGGAUGACGGCCUUCGGGUUGUAAACCGCUUUCGCCUGUGACGAAGCGUGAGUGACGGUAAUGGGUAAAGAAGCACCGGCUAACUACGUG
rnacentral:rRNA from 1 species